rnacentral:pre_miRNA from 9 species
UCUCGAUAACGUAAAAGUUAACUCAAAUUUGUGUGAAGACGGAACGUUUGCCUACGUUUGCCGCUAGGGGCGCUGUUCCAACUGGAUACAAAUUUGAGUUAACUUUUACGCUAUCGA